AGAAUCAACGCUGGCGGCGUGCCUAACACAUGCAAGUCGCACGAGAAAGGGUAGCAAUACCUGAGUAAAGUGGCGCACGGGUGAGUAACACGUGAAUGAUCUACCUCCGAGUGGGGAAUAACUGAGAGAAAUCUUAGCUAAUACCGCAUAACACUUACGAGUCAAAGCAGCAAUGCGCUUGGAGAGGAGUUCGCGGCCGAUUAGUUAGUUGGCGGGGUAAUGGCCCACAAGACGAUGAUCGGUA
rnacentral:rRNA from 1 species